rnacentral:lncRNA from 1 species
AACUAAAAAAUCUAAAAAAAUAAUUUAAGCCAAUCUGUUAAAAAAAAAAAAAAAUGUAACUUUUGUAUUACAAAAGCCAACCUUCACUUCUAUUUAUCCACCAAAUUAGAGAUUCUAGUAGCUUUAUAAUGGGGACACCAACAUGUUACAACUCAGGGGCAUUUUGGGCAAUUAACAUUUUUUUUGGCUGAUGUCAACGAGAUUCUACCCACGGAGCAGACGGAUACUUAACGGCAGAUACCAAGCGUUUUUCGAAUAUUAACAUUAGGGAGGGGAUUGUAAUUUUCAGUACCUCAGAGAGGGGAAUGGCUUAAUUAGAAACCCUAAUGGAGAUUUGUGCAAUUUAUCCCCCAAAAAAGUGUAAGAGGGCAAAACAUACGAAAACAGAGUCUGGCCUUGCUAGGGUGGGGAUCUUUGCCUAUCUUUCGCUAUGUGGCAAACUUGGAGGUCCUUCGCACCAGAACUCGGUGCAGACACCACCCAAGAUAAGCCAUGUUCGAGCCAAGGCUGUCGUUACUCUCGAGAUGUCAUCACUUAGCAAGCUUGAAAGAAUAACCGCUCAAGAGUUUGGAUAAUGGGCAAUCCGAGAGGUGUCAGGUAAUAGAAGGAAGCUUGCAUGGCGAAGUUUCUUCUAACAGCCCCUACGCUCGGAUGGAGAUGUCAGCAGUGUAAUGAUAGGCUACCAGCCAGGCCCCAGGAGUAUGGCUAGGUCGGCUGCCUACUCACUGUUACAGCGGUCAGUAUACACGAACACGUACCGACCCGCAAUCUAUCUAGUGAUAAGACAGUUAGCGCGUCAAGGUACGCACCAAGCUACACUAUAUAAGGAGAAUUGUUGUUCUCAUAAAGAUACGCACACAUUGGCUAUCUGAGUUUAUAUACACUUUCUCUCUCUACAUCUCCGAUCUUCUAACUUGACCGUCAGAGAACCGUUUUCUGAAAACAGCUUCGGCGUGGCCGAAUUCACUGUGUCUGUGCUAUAGCUAGGGCAUUGGGCAUUGACUAGUUGAAGUCACCGUGCAGUCGUAGGAUCACCACGAGUGUCUAUCUUCGAUUUUGUUCCUCUCUCCUUCAAACAUCACACCCCCAUAAAAAGCAACAACAACAAUAAUUGUGUCAAAAAUAAAUAUAUUAAAAACAAACUAGUCACCAACUUCCUCCAACUAUAUAUACCUUGCUUAGGCUUCAUACAUAUCUCAUAUUUAACAGAGAUCAGAUACUAAUUGUCAUUAGUUUCACAAAGAUAGAGAAUCAUGGAUUUCUCAUACUGCUAUACCCCUUCUCUUUUUUGUGUUCGUGGGGUUGUUGAAUUUAAGUUGUUGUGAUCCAACAGAUGGUUUCACAAACAUACCAUUGACAGAGGCCAACUUUGAUAAACAACAUACCUAUAACCUUCCUCUUUCCGAUCGUUAUAGCUAUGAAAAUGGAGUGAGAAUGUUGUGGGUUUAUUCUAUUGGUAAGCCUCAUUCCCCCGACAGUCAUAGCCUCAUUCCUCCGACAGUCUGUUGAGGACAUGUGUUAAGAAUAAGUUCCAUAUCGGAUAAUUAAAAAAAUAAUUGGCUCUUACAAGGCUUAAACUUUUAAGUAGAUAUGAGUUUCAAAUAAUGUAUAUUGGGCCAAGAUGAUGUAGAUACAGACCUAUGCUAUUUCUCUCCAAAUAGAUUAGGCCUUACAUGAGCACACGGGCGAACUCCAAUCACAUAUGAGUAUUAGAUAAAGUGACACCUUCUCGUCAAAUAAUAUAAUUACUAACUUAUAAGACAUCAAAUCCGAUACUAUUGUCAAAUAAAUUUUAUCCCAAUGACUUAGUUGUUGGUCCAUUGAUUUUAUAUUUUAUUCAUUUUUUACAAUUGUGUGGUGGUUAAGAUAUACAAAAUGACAAAAAAACUUACUUCCCAAUACGCAAUUCACACUUUUUAAUAUACUUUUACAUAUAUGUAUACACCUUUUAAUACAUUUUUUCUUCCUUAACCAACACCUAAUAAGUGAUGGUUAUCAUUUUCCUUUCUUUAUUAUGUUAAUGAAGGGUUAUAACUAUACUUAUGGUGUCUGGCAAUGUGAAGGGCUACGGCUACGGUUACGUUCCUAAGCCUACCUCUGGUGCAACAAAAGUAGGAAUGGCAAUGGGGUGGGUUCGGGACGGGUUCGUCCUCCCCCACCCCCGCCUUGAUUAAGAUAUUACUCCCCACCCUGUCCCAAACCCUGGCGGGUUGGGACUUCCUUCUCCACUCCCGCCUCAUUUACAGAAACCCUCCCCUGCCCCCGCUCGCCUCGUUUAGUUUAACGAGUUCGGGUUAAUCGGGUUUAUCCCCCAACUCGCCCCCACAAAAAACAACUUUCCUGCUAGUUUUAGAAACCUCAGGGACAGUGUCAACUCAUCAAAUAAUAUGCAGGCAACAUUAACAUAUGCUAUGAAAGAAAAUCAAAAGAAAUAAAAACAAGAGACUCAUCAUAUUGCAACAUAAACACACACUGUCACACACACAAAAAGGGAGGGACAAAGUGUCAUCAAGCCAAACAACCAGAGAAAACACCAUCAAGCAAUUACAAACUUGUGCACCACAGGUCAUUAACAGUUCAACACACACACAAAAAUACAUGUCCAUAGUGGAAGACAAAGACAACAAAAAAGACUAAAGGCAUCAACACAUCUCCAUCCAUCUCAAUAGCAUAAAACACCACAGGUCCAUAGUAGUUCCAGGAGAAUAUUUUUAUAUCAAGCCUACAUGAACUUGUGCCUACAAUAUAAACAAAGAAAGUUAUAGUUUAUAUAAAUACUUUAAAACAAUGAUAAAAUUCUUUAAUAACUACUUACCUUAGUGAGAACAAAUUGGUUUAAUAUAACUCUACACCGAAUCAUAGUCAUCUUCAAUUAUAAAUGUACAACUUGAUACAUUUGUUGAACAAAUACCUAAACAAGUGAUAUAUAAUUUCAUUAUGUAUCUAUGUGUAUUAAAAAAUCAAACAAAUAAAAUAACUUUACAUGUUUAAAUUAUUACCUUUAAUUUCGUUGCGCAAUCAGUUUUGUGCACACAUCAAAGCUUCCAAAAAUUAUAUCUAUAUUUUGUAAUCAGACAACAUAUGGAAAUUAAAGUAAAAAAAAAAAAAUUAUAACGAGUUAAAAUUUAAUUAGACAACAUUUUAUAAUCAGACAACAUAUUAUUUUUUUCAGAUCGUUAGUAUAAUCAUAUGGUAUCACCAAAAAAAAAGCAUAGAUCUGAACUUAAUAUAAUAAAUCUAACAAGUUAACAUUUAAUUAACACACAAAAAAUAAGGAAUUCCUUUAUUUCCCAGAAAAUAGAACUCAUGAACUAAAGCAAGAAAAGACAAUAGAGAAAGACUUAACAGUGCUUCAACGAUCGACGAUGGGGACGGAGAACGAUACUUCAACGGUCGAUGAUGGUGACGGAGAACGAUUGCACAAUCGCGUAGACAAAAAGGAGCUUAGGGAGACCCAGUAGAGGAGAGGCGGCAGUUGGGAAAAAAGGUAAUUAACGGAUGAGAAUAGAUAACCCUAAAUGAUAUAUAUAUAUAUAUAAUAGAAUAUAAUAUAGUCUUAUAUAAAAAAGGAUAUUUAUGGUAUAAACAAAAAGAAACAGGGGUAUUUGUCUAUACAUUCCAUAUCGGGUCGUGUCGGGUCAGUUUUAUGUUAAUGGUUGAACCGCGAACCAAUAACCCGCCCCCGCCCCAAACCCGAUUGGGGUUUUCAUUUUUCUUCCACCCCCGCCCCGAACCCAUUUAUUCAGAUCCCAAACUCGCCCUAUUAGGGUCGGGUCGGGGCCUCGAUUAUUUUGGGGGAAUUGCCAUCCCUAGACAAUAGCACAAAUUCAUGGGGCAACUCAUGAUUCUUCUACCAUAAUACUAAGGAUAUAUGAUGGAGACAUGAGGUACUACAGCGGUGAUCUUAUUGAAACCAAUAUGCAUGACCGAUUGUGGGGUAGUAGGUUAGAGAGAUGAUGGAAGGAAAAUAUAGGAUAAACAUUUACGAUGGUCUUGCGACAGCAAUGAGGGUUAGCACCAAUCAGUUGCGUGGCAGUGUACUAGCUGCAGCACCUAAACAGUGAGAUCGGCUUCCAGAGCUAUUUUUAAAAAAUGGCUCUCCGACGGUCAAGUUAGAUGACCAUAGUUAGUGUAUGUAUAUAUAUAUAGAGAGAGAGAGAGAGAGAGAGAGAAUAUAUAUGCUCUUAACAGGUGAAAAUAUUACCCUUGUGAGAAUAUGAGUUUUCCUUAUAUAGCGCAUAGUUCGGCGCGCCAACUAUUGUAUUAGUAGAUAGAUGGCUGACCAAACCAUGCUUCUGCGACUCAGUUGGUAGCAUGUCUUCAUACCGUAGAUGCCAUGUUCCAGGUAUGGGGGUUGUCGGAAAUAACUUCGUCGUGCAAGUCAUCCUCUGUCCCUUGACAAAACUCAGGAUCGCUGCGGAUCAUUGUCUCUCGAUCAAUUCUCAGUACGGUUGGUCUCCCGAGCUUACUGUGUAGCGAUAGCUUGGUUGUGAUACAGAUCCUAUAGUCUUGGAUGAUGUCAAUACUUGGUAAUGUUUCGACCGAGCUCAGACGAGCGUCGUGCCCCUACUUUGCUGCGUGAUGGUUAGCCUGGGGUGGCUAUGACCUCGGUAUGAUCCGAACUUAUAGUUGUCUAUUUUAUUCUCUUACACAGAUGGUUUAGGCUUAAUAUAAUCCAUGACGUGGAAGGAGGAAAGGUGACUGUGUUCAUCAAUGGAGUUCAAAAGUUUGAGACCAACGAUAGAGGUCCGAACGAUGAUUUCCACUUCAAGUGCAGGGUUUACAGCCUAAAGAUAUAAGCCACUUCAUGGAAUCAAGGUGGAGAGACAUCAAGUUAUAUAAGAAGUAGUUUGUCAUGUGAUGAAAGAAAUUGUUGAAGGUCUUGGAUUAUAUAAUUCAGUAAUGAAAUAUUAUUCUCAAAAGUUGUUGUCAAUUUUGAUUUGCAAUUUAUGUCACUACCCUCGAUCGCUAUUGUGUUAUUACGUUUAACUUUUUAUUUU